AUGCUGGGCGCGCGGGCCUGGUUGGGCCGCGUCCUUCUGCUGCCCCGCGCCGGUGCAGGCCUCGCCGCGAGCCGCAGGGGUAGCUCCUCCCGGGACAAGGACCGAAGUGCGACGGUCAGUAGUUCAGUGCCCAUGCCUGCUGGAGGGAAGGGAAGCCAUCCUUCAUCUGCACCCCAGAGGGUCCCCAACCGCCUGAUCCACGAGAAGUCACCAUACCUCCUACAACAUGCCUACAAUCCUGUGGACUGGUGAGCACCUCUCCUGGGGCCCUGCCUGGAAUCGCUGGGGUCCUGGGCCCCUUCCAGACCCCCUGGGCUACUGAGUGAUGCACCACCCUGCUGGGUCUAGGUACCCCUGGGGACAGGAAGCCUUCGACAAGGCCAGGAAAGAAAACAAGCCGAUUUUCCUCUCAGGUAAUGCUCCCACCUUCCCUGAUAUGGGGGUGUGGGCAGGGAGUGGCAGUGGAUGGGGGAGGGUCCUCUCGGCCUGGCGGGUCUU
rnacentral:sRNA from 1 species